rnacentral:rRNA from 1 species
GCUGUUCUAGCUGUUUCAUUGGCUGUAYAACGACGGCCWGKGRAUCCSKMMUCAUGGACGAUCUGUUCCCAAUUCGYCCUUARAGUUUGAUCCUGGCUCAGAACRAACGCUGGCGGCGUGCCUAACACAUGCAAGUCGAACGGAUUUGAGGAGCUUGCUUCUCAAGUUAGUGGCGCACGGGUGAGUAACGCGUAGAUAAUCUGCCUGAUGAUCUGGGAUAACACUUCGAAAGGGGUGCUAAUACCGGAUAAGCCCACGGAGUCUUUGGACUUUGCGGGAAAAGGGGGGGACCUUCGGGCCUUCUGUCAUCAGAUGAGUCUGCGUACCAUUAGCUAGUUGGUAGGGUAAGGGCCUACCAAGGCUACGAUGGUUAGCUGGUCUGARAGGAUGAUCAGCCACACUGGAACUGAGACACUGCCCAGACACCUACGGGUGGCUGCAGUCGCGAAUCUUCCUCAAUGGCCGAAAGGCUGAAGGAGCGACGCCGCGUGCAGGAUGAAGGCCUUCGGGUCGUAAACUGCUUUUGCAGGGGACGAACGUAUGACGGUACCCUGAGAAUAAGAGGUUGCUAACUCUGUGCCAGCAGCCGCGGUAAUAC